rnacentral:rRNA from 1 species
GUCCUUUUGUUUUUUUAUUUAAGGUCUGACCUGCCCAAUGAGGAAUUCAAUGGCCGCAGUAUUUUAACUGUGCUAAGGUAGCAUAAUCAUUUGUCUUUUAAUUGAGGGCUGGAAUGAAAGGUUGGACGAGGUAUUAGCUUUCUUUAAUUUAGUUUUAUGAAUUUAAUUUUUGAGUUAAAAAGCUUAAAUUUAUUUGUUGGACGAGAAGACCCUAUAGAUCUUUAUAAUUUUAUAUUCUAAUAAUUUAGGGAUUAUCUUAUUUAGAGUAAAAGAAUUAUUUUGUUGGGGUGACUGUAGAAUUUUUUAAACUUCUAUUUAUUGUUAUCAUUUAUUUAUGUUUAUUUGAUCCAUAAUUUAUGAUUAGAAGAUUAAGUUACCUUAGGGAUAACAGCGUAAUUUCUUCGGAGAGUUCAUAUUGAUGAAGAAGUUUGCGACCUCGAUGUUGGAUUAAAAUGAGUAGUGGAUGCAGGAGUUUACUUACUAGGUCUGUUCGACCUUUAAAUUUUU